AUUUUACAUAUGGCUGCUACGAAGCUGGCUUCAACGUUGGUAAAUCAAACUACGUCCAGGCUCGUGUUGGGAUUGUCUCUGUCAAUAAAUCAGGUUGCAAUAAUACUGCUCCACAAGCUAUCGGUGUUGGAAUAAACAAGCAUGGAUUUUAUUCAGCUGACGUUCAUGGCGUGGUUUAUGUUAAUACAAAUUCAAAUGUUUUUGUUUCUCCUUUAGACUUUUGGUUUUACGUUCGCUCGCGUCCUGUUUCAAAUGUUUAGAUAUAUACUAUCAGUUGCUUUAAACGCUCGUAUUUGUAAUAGUUUGCUUGUGAUUUAUCAAUCCCUAUGUUAUCAAUGUGCUCUCAUAUGUAUCAAUGUAUAUUUUUUUCCUAUUAAGUCACACCCUUAUCGUUACGUAUAUUUCUUUUAGAAAUGUCAAAUUAAUGUAAACAAUAAUUGCAUAUUAAAAUUCAAAAAGUA